rnacentral:rRNA from 1 species
CCUACGGGUGGCAGCAGUCGAGAAUCAUUCACAAUGGGGGAAACCCUGAUGGUGCGACGCCGCGUGGGGGAAUGAAGUUCUUCGGAUUGUAAACCCCUGUCAUGUGGGAGCAAAUUAAAAAGAUCGUACCACAAGAGGCAGAGACGGCUAACUCUGUGCCAGCAGCCGCGGUAAUACAGAGGUCUCAAGCGUUGUUCGGAAUCACUGGGCGUAAAGCGUGCGUAGGCUGUUUCGUAAGUCGUGUGUGAAAGGCGAGGGCUCAACCCGCGGACGGCACAUGAUACUGCGAGACUAGAGUAAUGGAGGGGGAACCGGAAUUCUCGGUGUAGCAGUGAAAUGCGUAGAUAUCGAGAGGAACACUCGUGGCGAAGGCGGGUUCCUGGACAUUAACUGACGCUGAGGCACGAAGGCCAGGGGAGCGAAAGGGAUUAGAUACCCUAGUAGUC